rnacentral:tRNA from 1 species
UGGCUCAAUCGGUAGAGCGUCCGACUGUUAGUCGGGCGGUCGCUGGUUCGAGUUCGGU